rnacentral:rRNA from 1 species
GAUGAACGCUGGCUACAGGCUUAACACAUGCAAGUCGAGGGGAGACGGCAUUAUGUGCUUGCACAUUCUGGACGUCGACCGGCGCACGGGUGAGUAUCGCGUAUCCAACCUUCCCUCCACUCGGGGAUACCCCGUUGAAAGACGGCCUAAUACCCGAUGUCGUCCACAGAUGGCAUCUGACGUGGACCAAAGAUUCAUCGGUGGAGGAUGGGGAUGCGUCUGAUUAGCUUGUUGGUGCGGGUAACGGCCCACCAAGGCAACGAUCAGUAGGGGUUCUGAGAGGAAGGUCCCCCACAUUGGAACUGAGACACGGUCCAAACUCCUACGGGAGGCAGCAGUGAGGAAUAUUGGUCAAUGGACGUAAGUCUGAACCAGCCAAGUAGCGUGCAGGAUUGACGGCCCUAUGGGUUGUAAACUGCUUUUGUUGGGGAGUAAAGUGAGGCACGCGUGCCUUUUUGCAUUUACCCUUCGAAUAAGGACCGGCUAAUUCCGUGCCAGCAGCCGCGGUAAUACGGAAGGUCCAGGCGUUAUCCGGAUUUAUUGGGUUUAAAGGGAGUGUAGGCGGUCUGUUAAGCGUGUUGUGAAAUUUAGGUGCUCAACAUCUACCUUGCAGCGCGAACUGGCGGACUUGAGUGCACGCAACGUAUGCGGAAUUCAUGGUGUAGCGGUGAAAUGCUUAGAUAUCAUGACGAACUCCGAUUGCGAAGGCAGCGUACGGGAGUGUUACUGACGCUUAAGCUCGAAGGUGCGGGUAUCGAACAGGAUUAGAUACCCUGGUAGUCCGCACGGUAAACGAUGGAUGCCCGCUGUUAGCGCCUGGCGUUAGCGGCUAAGCGAAAGCAUUAAGCAUCCCACCUGGGGAGUACGCCGGCAACGGUGAAACUCAAAGGAAUUGACGGGGGCCCGCACAAGCGGAGGAUAUGUGGUUUAAUUCGAUGAUACGCGAGGAACCUUACCCGGGCUUGAAUUGCAGACGCAGGAUACAGAGAUGUUGACUCCCUUCGGGGCGUCUGUGACAGGUGCUGCAUGGGUGUCGUCAGCUCGUGCCGUGAGGUGUCGGCUCAGUGCCAUACGAGCGCACCCACUUCCUAGAUG